ACUGAUAUUGCUGUAAAUACAGGUCAGUCAUGGUAAGUAUAUGAGUUGGACAUGCAUUUUGUGUUAUACAUCAGAUCCAUCACAUCACCUAACAUUAACCUUACAUGUUAUUGAUCAUGUCGUUUUAAUUGCGAAUACCAAAAAUGAAAAAAUAUAAAUCGUAAAAUAAUGAUCAUAACAUCGCGUUGCAAAUAUACCUUGAAAAGGUACAUGAUAUUGGCACCAUGAACAUUCAACACUUUCUAAUGUUCCAGAGAUCAGCUAACAAUGAACAUGACAGAGACAUGGAAGACAAA
rnacentral:lncRNA from 1 species